rnacentral:rRNA from 1 species
UGAUAGUACCAGAAGAGGAAGAGACGGCUAACUCUGUGCCAGCAGCCGCGGCAAUACAGAGGUCUCAAGCGUUGUUCGGAUUCAUUGGGCGUAAAGGGUGCGUAGGUGGCGAGGUUAGUCAGGUGUGAAAUCUCGGGGCUCAACCCCGAAACUGCACUUGAUACUGCCUUGCUAGAGUACUGGAGAGGAGAUUGGAAUUUACGGUGUAGCAGUGAAAUGCGUAGAUAUCGUAGGGAAGACCAGUGGCGAAGGCGAAUCUCUGGACAGUUACUGACACUGAGGCACGAAGGCCAGGGGAGCAAACGGGAUUAGAUACCCCGGUAGUCCUGGCAGUAAACGGUGCGCGUUUGGUGUGGGAGGAUUCGACCUCUUCUGUGCCGGAGCUAACGCGUUAAACGCGCCGCCUGGGGAGUACGGUCGCAAGAUUAAAACUCAAAGAAAUUGACGGGGGCCCGCACAAGCGGUGGAGUAUGUGGCUUAAUUCGAUGCAACGCGAAGAACCUUACCUAGCCUUGACAUGCAUCUCUAAGUCGGUGAAAGCCGGCGACUGUAGCAAUACAGAAUUUGCACAGGUGCUGCAUGGCUGUCGUCAGCUCGUGUCGU